CUCUCUCAUCUUCCUCUUGCUGCCUCUUUUAAUUUUUCUCCCUUCUUCAUCAAACCCUAACCAUAGCAACAAAGGCACCCAAAUCCCUCUCAUUAUUUCCCAAAAUUAGCGGCAUCCUCAUCAGUCCUCAAACGUGGCCCACCUUGUAUUCUAUGACGGAUCUGACGGUUGCGCCUAUGCCAAACUAUAAUAAAGAAAUCCUUCAAAGCAAUUCCUCACCGUCGACGAGUGGGUUCAGAUUCGACAAAUCUGGGGAAGUUUUCAUAUUCAACUUUAUUAUUUCAUCUUAUCAUUAUAUUUUUUCGAUCAUUUAAGCUAAUCAUUUUUUAUUUAGUUCAGUGUUGUUAAUAUCUUUUUAAAAAAAAUAAAAAUAAAAAAUUACGAUUGUUAAUGGAAGAUUAUUCAUUGUUAUCAAAACCCCUUUAUAGUCUUCAAAAACGUCUGGAUCCAAUGGGCUAUCUGAUCUGAAAAUUGAACCAUUCAAUCACUCUGGUUGGGUUCAUCAUUCAUUCUUCCCAAAUGGUAGGCGUACAAGUUCUAAUAAUAAAUAACUGUCCUCCAAAUGGUAGGCCCAAAUUUAUAUCGAUU